GGGAAUGAGAAGACAGCUGUAAAUCAUGUCCGGCCUGCUGAUGACAUUCUCCUCUCUUAGCUAAAGGACUGAGGAUGGCUUUUCUGUGCCAGCCUGGGCCUGCUGAGCUGACCGUGUUUGAAGGGCCAGUCGUGGGCUAAGCUAGGCAAGCUGAGAUCAGUCCUGCAGGAACCUGAGGUCAUCACAGGAUGUGAAGACAGAGGUCAGGAGCCUGUGGGACCAGGAAUGAGCGAGGAGAUCGAAAUGACCUUGAUAGCUACAAGUGGAGAUGGAUCUUUGAGCUAUCAGAUGGAAGGCUGUCUCGCAGACCCAUGCUGGAUUUUACAUAAAUAAGAAAUAAUGUGGUCAUGAUGGCUGAGGAUAGAGGUGGAGCAGGUGCCAUGCCGCUCUCAUGAGAUGGAGACCACAUACUCUAAGAAAGCUGAACAGAAAAAUAAAAGGUGUCUGAGUCUCUGAUGACAUAAUGGAGCUACCAUAACCACCAUGGAUAUCAUCUAGGUGCUU